rnacentral:rRNA from 1 species
GAUGAACGCUGGCGGCGUGCCUAAUACAUGCAAGUCGAGCGAACGGACGAGAAGCUUGCUUUUCUGAUGUUAGCGGCGGACGGGUGAGUAACACGUGGAUAACCUACCUAUAAGACUGGGAUAACUUCGGGAAACCGGAGCUAAUACCGGAUAAUAUUUUGAACCGCAUGGUUCAAAAGUGAAAGACGGUCUUGCUGUCACUUAUAGAUGGAUCCGCGCUGCAUUAGCUAGUUGGUAAGGUAACGGCUUACCAAGGCAACGAUGCAUAGCCGACCUGAGAGGGUGAUCGGCCACACUGGAACUGAGACACGGUCCAGACUCCUACGGGAGGCAGCAGUAGGGAAUCUUCCGCAAUGGGCGAAAGCCUGACGGAGCAACGCCGCGUGAGUGAUGAAGGUCUUCGGAUCGUAAAACUCUGUUAUUAGGGAAGAACAUAUGUGUAAGUAACUGUGCACAUCUUGACGGUACCUAAUCAGAAAGCCACGGCUAACUACGUGC